ACAAAAUUAAAAUCUAGCCUCCCAAACUAAUGUCUGCCUAAACUCCACAAAAACCAUCUCCAUCGAAACUCCACAGAAACCCAUCUCCGCCGAAACCCUCCUCCCGCCGCCCGCACCUAGCCUCCUCCGCCACCCCUCCGCGGCACCAACGGCCUAGCUUCCUCCUCCAUUCUGUCGUCGCUCUUCUUCUUCACCAUUUUCUUUAACUCUUUUUCUUUGUCGUCGUCGUUCACUAUUUUCCCCUGUUCUAGACGUCGAUGAGGGCAGAGGAAUCGAGAGGGAUAUUUUUCAAAGUUAGGUGACAUUGACAACACUUGCUAAAGACCAACCACUUGAGGGCAGCGACAUGGACAAAUCGGAAGACGUUCUGAAGGCUGCAGAUAUAGGCAAGGAGGCGGAAGAGGUGGACAACCAUAUAGACGAGGAGUUUGUAGAAGUUAUCCCUGGAAUAAAUUAACUAAUCAGUAUCCAAGCGUGCCACCUCAAAUAAACAUUAUAGAUGAGAAGGGACUUGAUGAAAGUCGACAAACAUAUUUAAUCAUUGGCGUGCAUAAUAAAACAAUAGAACUCCAUUCUUGCUUAAUGCUUGUGAGUGGAUCUUCUUUCUAACAUGAAUCAUCCUGAAGGAAACUGUCCAUUGUGCUUGUAUCCUUUGGUUGCUGAAGAUCAGUCAGAUUCUACUAUGCCAUUUAUGAAGUUGAUGUCCAGCUAUCACUGCUUCCAUAAGUGGUAGAAAUGGUAACAGAUGGAAGAUUUAGAAGCAAUUGCAGAAAUUUCAUCUUCAAAAGAAAAAGAGAUACUUUUCGUGAGCGUCUGUUGUAAAACAAUAGCAUAGAGGAUCAGUGGAGAUGUUUAGCUGUUAAAGGAUGUUCAAUAUUUUAAGCAUAGUUUGUAGAAUCGCGAUCCUACGCAGGAUCGAUUUAGGGUCAGGAUCGGAUCGGUCAGGAUCAGAUCGUAGAA